AGGUUUUUCUCCUGCGCUGGGAUGGCACCGAAACCACAGUGCAUUCGGGGUUGCUACAUCCUAGUUGGCUUCUCUUUUUUAAUGCUAAUAAUAUUGAUUUUGGGUACAGUGGAUCUCAGGCAAGGGAAACUCCAGUAAACGAAAGCUGACUAUAGCCAAACGUGGCUGAUGUUUCUUUUUUCCUCAGGGUUGGCAGGCCCUGCCUGCCUUUCCAUCUGCCCAGUGCUGGCCUUGAACACCCGGAGUGGCUUCUCUGCACGCUCUCCUGUGGGCUGCCUUCCUGCCUUGGUGCUGGCGCCCAGAGCUUGAGACCCAUUUCUGUCUGCAAGAGGACUGUGGUCUUUGCCCUUGCUCCGCUGAGCUCUGGCUGCCACCUGCAUCCAGCAUGCGUUCCCAGCACCCCCCGUCCCGGCUCCAGGCCGAGUUCAUCUGGGGCCUGCUACCAGGGUGACGAGGACCCCACGGAAUGCUCAGACCGGGCCCCGGCACAUCACAAAUGCUGCAGAAGUGAGUUGUCAUCCACAUCAUCAGAGGCCAUGACUCUGCAUCACUCAGAGCAAGGGUGGAGCCUUCCCGGCAAGGAUUCGACUCUGUUCCAGGAAGAAGAGAGGCAAUGAGCAAAAAGACCACAGCAGGCAUGUCGUAGAGGAGGAAACGGAGUGCACAGAUGAACACGGGAAAAGCUGCCCGAUGUCACGAGGAUGCAGGGAAGUGCAAGGUAAGGUCCCCGUGAGAGAUUUCACAUCCAUCAGGCUCACAGUGAGGAAGACAUGUGACAUCUGACAGCACCGAGGGUCUGAAAGGAUGGAGAUCAGCUGGCACCCACGGUUGAUGAGUGUGAAACCUGGUCUGGCCACACUGAAAACCGCUUUGGCCUUUUCUUGUUAGGUUGACCAGUCCCAUGCCUUAGCACCCUGCAAAUCCACUCCCAGGAGCCACACAAGGCACACCCAAGAAGAGUUCGUCGCAGCACUGUUAGCAAGAGGAGGGAGAGAGAGGAAAUGACCCAGAUACUCCCUGACAGAGCAAUGCAAAAAGAAAUUGUAGCACGGUCACACAAUUUCUUUCCACACUGGUGACAGCAAACUCCAGCUACACAGCAGCACGGCUCAAGCUCAGAGAGAGGGAAAUGUUGAGUACAAAAAUGCAAAUUUUAGAGAUCUACGUACAGAGAGGAAGUUUUUAGAGCUUGAGAACGAAGAAGCAAUCUAAUGUUUAGGCUUAUUCAGUCGGCCUGUGAGCAAGAGAAUGGCAAACAAACAAACACCAAAUUGCAGAGAGGGGUGACCUGCAGGCAAGGAGGAGAUGGAAGUGACUGGGAAUGUUCUAGUUCUGGAGUUGAGCUGUGGGCCCACGGAUGUUCAUUGUCCCACCAUCCUUCAGAAUGCACGAAACACACGAAGUAUUAAAACAGAACAGAGGCAAAGGGGAAAAACAAGAAGAGAAACAUGGUGUGGGUCCAGACACAUCCAGUAUGAUUUCCUUGUCACACACAUAGUUGACUGUUUUCACGUGGUGUCACGGGGGGUCCCAAGAGUUCCGUCGAGAGGCCAGAGCGGGAAGUGAAAGGACAGGCAAUUGGACGAGGGCAUUCUUCCCUCUGGGCCUCGUUUCUUCAUAUGCAAAAUGAGGGGGUGUACCAGGAGUGCCAAAUGGCUGGCGUGCAUAACCCAGGCCUCCCCUUCCUGACCCGCUGCGGACACUACUCGUGCAUUGCAGCACUGUUUCACAUGGAGCACAGACACGCAGCGUUGGGCUCUGCAGCUGGGCCCUGCAGGCUGCCGGGAAUGCCAGUCUGAGAGGGCACACUAAGUGAUACCUACGUGCUGAUCUGGAGAGACCCAGAUCCCUCCAGCUGUGGCCUGGAAGGUUCUGAUGCCUCACCAGCAGGCACUAGCUAGUCUGAGAGGCAGGGGCCCUAGGGAGGAGCCGACUGGCUUUGGUACUGACCCUAGCCGGACCCUGGCAGCGUGCAGCCUCAGCGUCUACACUGCCCACGCCUGUGGCCUCCGGUCCGCCGCGGGGGGGCCCCUGGCCCCCCCAUCAUCUGACCAGAGCCCGUGCUCCCAUCCGUCGGGUGGGCAGGCUCAUGUCUACGCUCUGCGGGUGAGCUCUGCUGGACCUGAAAACGGCAAGAUGGGCGGAGGGCCAGGCAGGAGCUCAGCUUCACCCUCUAGCCCAGAGAGCCAUGGAAGCGGCCCCGUUGUGCCAGAUUCAACCAGCUCUCCGAGGCAGGAGGAUGGCGUUCCUUUCACCACCGCCUAGGUCUGCCUGGGCCUGCAGGCCUUUGCUCCUCUGCUCCCCUCGCUACCUGCCCCCCUGCCCCCGCCUGUCCCCUCUUCCUCCCCUUAUGGUCCCAGCUCACAAGACUCCUCCUUGGUUGUGCUAUUCCAUCUACCUCCCACCCCCCAUCCCCCCAGUGAGCGCUGACGUGCCUUCCUCUAGACAACCACCACACAGAGGUCAGCUUUCCCGAGGAGAGCUUGUGUGCUGGGUCUGGUCCAGUUUCUGUGGGUGUCUGUCCCCUCCAGUAUGGGGAGCCCAGCAGGGGCCACCUCACACCCGCAUGAAGAUAAUACCAUCAAACAGCCACAAUUCCUUGGAAUCAAUGGGCUUCUCCGAGAACUGUCCACCUACUGCCUAAGCCGCACAGCCAGUGAGGUUGGCAGUCGGGGAAUGGUACCUCCCUCCCUAUUCCAACAGCGAGAAACUCAAGGGCCACAGAGGGGGGUGACUUUUCCAGCAUCACUGCCCACCCUCCAACCUUCUGGGAGGCUGAGAAGCUUUUCUGUCAUGUCCCAUCAGGGCCCUCAAACCCCAGGAAACACCUCACUUCCCCAGAGCAGGGGCCUGAUGAGUGACCACAGCCCCUAAUCAUGGAGCAUCUGGUUUCAUCCUGGUCCCUGUGGAUUCUUUUAACAACAAGAUCACGCGGAGAGACAUCAUACCCAGGGACGUGAUGCUUCGGCGAUUCGUCUCUCUUUCAUUUUGUUCACCUGAUACACGUUUUAAAUGACUACGGGGCUGUGUACACAGGAAGCCUUGAUUCACUAGAAAGAACCGUGGCGGGUUUUCUUAGAAGAAGACAAAGUCAGGAAUUUAAGGCAUCCACACAUGUCCAUUGAGCAGAGUGGAGACAAAGAUGUCUCUCCCGCUGCUGUGUCCGGGAACACAGCUGCCCACACACGCCCACCACACCCCCGGAUCAGAGCCUGCCACUGAUAUCCACGGUGUGAAAGGGCUUGGAACCCACUGUCAUCGUUAUCACCAUCCCUCGACCCCAAGAAGCCAACACCAUGAGCUUGCAAAGGCACUCCAACAGGAACGCUCACUUGUGUUCCCAGGAAUACACACAGACGCCAGAUAUUUACUUCUGGUUCCAACUUCUCCUGGGUUCAUCCUCUUUCAAGUCCUGGAAACUCUGGGCACCACUUCUUGCCCUACAAUCCCUCCGUCAGAUCCCCCCAUCGCCCACUCUCCCAGGAAGCUCCCCCACCUGGACACCUCCAAAUCCUCCUCAAAGCCCUCUCUGACUCCCCCUCUUCCCGGCCUUCUCGCUGGCCUCUUUACACUAAUUUCCUGCUAGAACGAUCAUAAUGGGUUCAAAUGCUGCCGCUUGCACACCUAUCUCCCCCGUCACGGGGCAGGUUGUGGGAGCAGGGCGCAGGGCUGAUGUACCCCCUUACCUCCAGCCCCUCAGCAUGGGCCCGGGCACAUGGGUGGGGGGUGGAGUAGGGCCUCAAAGAAGCAUGAUCUAAAUCCCUGGGCUCUGUUUUCCUCCAACUUAGAGUGUAGUGAAAGAGCUCUAAUGACAAAGAAGGUAAAUUCUAGGUAUUCUGAACAGAGACCAGGCCAUCCUUUCCUGAGUACUUCACAGCGAAGCCAAGACCUCACUGGUGAGUAACUGUCAACUGCCCAACAGUGGGAGUGAAGAAAUUUCCCAGGAGAGAGAGAGUCACAGACAAAUGUUGUAAGGAGGGAGGGAGCAACUUGUGUAAGGACCGAAAGGCCAGUGGUGCCUCAGCAAAGCAAUGGGGCGAUGGGCAAGUGUUCAUGGAUUAUGCGUAUCGGUUAGGUUAGGAUGGGUUACGCUGCGUAACACACAAUCCUCUAAAUCUCAGUGGCCUACAAUAAAGUUUCUUUAUGUCUCAGACUACAUGCACAUGUGGCUCUCCUUCGUCUCCUCUCCCCUCUGGACUCAGGUUGACAGAGCAGUCUGUCUCUAUCUGGAAUAUUGCCAUUGUCGUGGAAAAAGGAAAAGAAAAGUGGUAAAUUACUCACUG